rnacentral:miRNA from 1 species
AUAUUUUGGGACGGAGGGAGU